UACAGAGGGUGCAAGCGUUAAUCGGAAUCACUGGGCGUAAAGCGCGCGUAGGCGGUCCGUUAAGUGGGAUGUGAAAUCCCCGGGCUUAACCUGGGAAUUGCAUUUCAAACUGGCGGACUAGAGUGCGGUAGAGGGAGGUAGAAUUUCCUGUGUAGCGGUGAAAUGCGUAGAUAUAGGAAGGAAUACCAGUGGCGAAGGCGGCCUCCUGGAUCGACACUGACGCUGAGGCGCGAAAGCGUGGGGAGCAAACAGG
rnacentral:rRNA from 1 species